rnacentral:rRNA from 1 species
AACUGCGAAUGGCUCAUUAAAUCAGUUAUCGUUUAUUUGAUAGUACCUUACUACUUGGAUAACCGUGGUAAUUCUAGAGCUAAUACAUGCUAAAAAUCCCGACUUACGGAGGGAUGUAUUUAUUAGAUUAAAAACCAAUGCCCUUCGGGGCUCUCUGGUGAUUCAUAAUAACUUCUCGAAUCGCAUGGCCUUGAGCUGGCGAUGGUUCAUUCAAAUUUCUGCCCUAUCAACUUUCGAUGGCAGGGUCUUGGCCUGCCAUGGUUACAACGGGUAACGGAGGGUUAGGGCUCGACCCCGGAGAAGGAGCCUGAGAAACGGCUACUACAUCCAAGGAAGGCAGCAGGCGCGCAAAUUACCCAAUUCCGAUACGGAGAGGUAGUGACGAUAAAUACUGAUACAGGGCUCUUUUGGGUCUUGUAAUUGGAAUGAGUACAAUUUAAAUCCCUUAACGAGGAACAAUUGGAGGGCAAGUCUGGUGCCAGCAGCCGCGGUAAUUCCAGCUCCAAUAGCGUAUAUUAAAGUUGUUGCAGUUAAAAAGCUCGUAGUUGAACCUUGGGCCUGGCUGGCUGGUCCGCCUCACCGCGUGUACUGGUUCGGCCGGGCCUUUCCCUCUGGGGAACCUCAUGCCCUUCACUGGGUGUGCUGGGGAACCAGGACUUUUACUGUGAAAAAAUUAGAGUGUUCAAAGCAGGCCUAUGUCCGAAUACAUCAGCAUGGAAUAAUAGAAUAGGACGUGCGGUUCUAUUUUGUUGGUUUCUAGGACCGCCGUAAUGAUUAAUAGGGACAGUCGGGGGCAUCAGUAUUCAAUUGUCAGAGGUGAAAUUCUUGGAUUUAUUGAAGACUAACUACUGCGAAAGCAUUUGCCAAGGAUGUUUUCAUUAAUCAGGAACGAAAGUUAGGGGAUCGAAGACGAUCAGAUACCGUCGUAGUCUUAACCAUAAACUAUGCCGACUAGGGAUCGGACGAUGUUAUUUUNNGACUCGUUCGGCACCUUACGAGAAAUCAA